GGCUCAGAGGUUAAAGCAUCUGCCUGCAAUGCAGGAGACCUGGGUUCGAUCCCUG
rnacentral:tRNA from 1 species